rnacentral:rRNA from 1 species
UACGUAGGGCGCAAGCGUUAUCCGGAAUUAUUGGGCGUAAAGAGCUCGUAGGCGGUUUGUCGCGUCUGCCGUGAAAGUCCGGGGGCUCAACUCCGGAUCUGCGGUGGGUACGGGCAGACUAGAGUGAUGUAGGGGAGACUGGAAUUCCUGGUGUAGCGGUGAAAUGCGCAGAUAUCAGGAGGAACACCGAUGGCGAAGGCAGGUCUCUGGGCAUUAACUGACGCUGAGGAGCGAAAGCAUGGGGAGCGAACAGG